GCAGUCGAGCGGUAGAGAGAAGCUUGCUUCUCUUGAGAGCGGCGGACGGGUGAGUAAUGCCUAGGAAUCUGCCUGGUAGUGGGGGAUAACGUUCGGAAACGGACGCUAAUACCGCAUACGUCCUACGGGAGAAAGCAGGGGACCUUCGGGCCUUGCGCUAUCAGAUGAGCCUAGGUCGGAUUAGCUAGUUGGUGGGGUAAUGGCUCACCAAGGCGACGAUCCGUAACUGGUCUGAGAGGAUGAUCAGUCACACUGGAACUGAGACACGGUCCAGACUCCUACGGGAGGCAGCAGUGGGGAAUAUUGGACAAUGGGCGAAAGCCUGAUCCAGCCAUGCCGCGUGUGUGAAGAAGGUCUUCGGAUUGUAAAGCACUUUAAGUUGGGAGGAAGGGUUGUAGAUUAAUACUCUGCAAUUUUGACGUUACCGACAGAAUAAGCACCGGCUAACUCUGUGCCAGCAGCCGCGGUAAUACAGAGGGUGCAAGCGUUAAUCGGAAUUACUGGGCGUAAAGCGCGCGUAGGUGGUUUGUUAAGUUGGAUGUGAAAUCCCCGGGCUCAACCUGGGAACUGCAUUCAAAACUGACUGACUAGAGUAUGGUAGAGGGUGGUGGAAUUUCCUGUGUAGCGGUGAAAUGCGUAGAUAUAGGAAGGAACACCAGUGGCGAAGGCGACCACCUGGACUAAUACUGACACUGAGGUGCGAAAGCGUGGGGAGCAAACAGGAUUAGAUACCCUGGU
rnacentral:rRNA from 1 species